CCUACGGGGGGCAGCAGUAAGGGAUAUUGCGCAAUGGGCGAAAGCCAGACGCAGCGACGCCGCGUGGGCGAUGAAUGCCUUCGGGUUGUAAAGCCCUUUUCUGGAGGAAGAGAAAGGACGGUACUCCAGGAAUAAGCGUCGGCUAACUACGUGCCAGCAGCCGCGGUAAAACGUGGGACGCGAGCGUUAUCCGGAUUCACUGGGCGUAAAGAGCGUUGAGGCGGUUCCGUAAGUUGGACGUGAAAGCCCUGGGCUUAACUCAGGGAGGCCGUUCAAUACUGCGGGACUUGAGGGCAGCAGAGGGAGGUGGAAUUCCCGGUGGAGUGGUGAAAUGCGUAGAUAUCGGGAGGAACACCAGUGGCGAAGGCGACCUCCUGGGCUGUUCCUGACGCUGAAUGCGAAAGCUAGGGUAGCAAACGGGAUUAGAUACCCUUGUAGUC
rnacentral:rRNA from 1 species